UUAGGCACAUUAUGUGCUUUCACACUUCUUCAACAUUUAAUGCACUUAGAACAUCACAGUCAUUUUAGUCUUUGGCACUUUACCUACAGUCUGGGUUGCCCUACAAUAUCACAAUAAUGCAUGCUAACUGAUAACUUCCAGGGAAGUCAAUUUCAUGACUUCCAUGCCUAGAAUUUAAACACAAGCACAAUUAGAAGAAGGUAAACAUGCAGUCAAUCCAGGCAAACUGAUGUCAAACUCAACAAACAGCCAGUCCCCAAAGCAAACAUUUUAUGGUUGCGCACUACGUCAUAAAAGGUCCGAGUUCUGAUAUUUACACGUAUGUAUACUGUAGCAGUACAUGUGUGCUGUUGAUAGCUUAAUAACUGAACCCUGUCCAGUUUUAUUCCGUCAAACAAUUUUUCACUACACGAUCUGCAUUUGUCACCGCUUUCAGAUGCACUGCACUGUAAAGACUGCAGGCAAUGAACAUUAGUGAGACUGUCGGCUGUGCUGUGCAAGUCACCAUCAACCAGCAUGCAGUCUGUUAUCAACAGAGGGAAAAAAUAUGGAGAUUUUUCCCUCUCUCUUUUGGGAUUUUGGAUCAGCUCAGAUGAUUCCUGUGAGACCAUCUGUCCAGGUGACAAUUUACACCUCAUCCGUCAAGCUGUCACCGUUUGUUCUGGGCAAAGUGACAUCUCUUGUUCAGACAGCAUGCAUCUACGCACAAAGUAAAAUCAUCUACUCAUAACGUCCUAAUGUACCGGUGCAUACACCAACCAUCAGGAGACAUUUCUUACAGGGCUCGAAGUAAUUCACAUAAACUGAAAAUAAAACAAAUGCCGUUGAUUUCAUACCAGGUACGGUACAUGUACUUGUAUAUAAAUGUACUAAUACUCCUACUUUUUCUCAAGACAGUUAUGACAACCUUAACAUUUACCUUUUGGUAGCUCUAUAUCAUACACAUCGCACAUGACAUUUCUUUAUCUACAUAAAGCCACUUUCAGAAGUCCUUUAUGGCUUCCUCUGAUCGCAUGAACAUGUACAUGUAAUGCCAUUUUGAUAUUUGUAAGGCCCGAAGCAAGGGCAAUUUGUCCAAUGCAUACAUGUACCGGUAUGCACAAUGCCCCUCCGGCAGACAAAUGGAAGUCUGGACAUGUGCUUUCAUAAAGUCUAGAUCUAUCGGUACCUGUGCAAGUAUUGCAUAACUAGAUUUCUUUAACAAAAAGUAUCAAAUGCAUACAUGUACAGUAUGUACAAGCACUGUAGUUUACAUUUUUUUAAUGUCUCACCAAAAUUUCUGGUACACCUUUGUAUGAAACACAAAACCUAAUGGCAGAAAUACCGGUAGGGCUUUGCCGAAUAACCAAAUAUUUGAUCGAUUGUUGAAUAUUCAAAUAUUACUUUUAGAAUUUGAAUAUUCGAAUGCAAAAUUCA